AUUGAACGCUGGCGGCAGGCUUAACACAUGCAAGUCGAACGGAGUGGCGGACGGGUGAGUAAUGCUUGGGAAUCUGGCUUAUGGAGGGGGCUAACGACGGGAAACUGUCGCUAAUACCGCGUACCAUUGGAUGAGCCCAAGCGGGCUUAGUUAGUUGGUGGGGUAAUGGCUUACCAAGCCGACGAUCUCUAGCUGGUCUGAGAGGAUGAUCAGUCACACGGGAACUGAGACACGGUCCAGAAUCAUACGGGAGGCAGAAGUGGGGAAUAUUGGACAAUGGGCGAAAGCCUGAUCCAGCCAUGCCGCGUGUGUGAAGAAGGUCUUCGGAUUGUAAAGCACUUUAAGUUGGGAGGCGUUACCAACAGAAUAAGCACCGGCUAACUUCGUGCCAGCAGCCGCGGUAAUAC
rnacentral:rRNA from 1 species